rnacentral:rRNA from 1 species
CGUUGGUCUACGACCUCAGGUCCUCGGUCUGUGGUGGCAACUACUGCUGAUGAUGAUGAACCCUCCACGGAUGAUGAUGCACGUCGGGCGACUGCCGCUGGUCCUCAUCAAAUCCUCCUAGGGUCCGUCCUCCGGACGCGGAGAAAGCUAGACAUAGGGUCAAACACGAUCGGAAGAAUUCCGUUUGAACAAAUUGAAUACAGACAUGAGUCUAUAACAACGAAGAUGACUGAGCAGAUACUAGCUCGAGAACAUAAGCUCGGAAGUUCCGGGGACCGAACAUUAUACUACGAACAUACUG